GCAGUGGGAGCACCCUUCGGGGUGUGACUGCGUACCUUUUGUAUAAUGGGUCAGCGACUUAUAUUCUGUAGCAAGGUUAACCGUAUAGGGGAGCCGGAGGGAAACCGAGUCUUAAUUGGGCGUUAAGUUGCAGGGUAUAGACCCGAAACCCGGUGAUCUAGCCAUGGGCAGGUUGAAGGUUGGGUAACACUAACUGGAGGACCGAACCGACUAAUGUUGAAAAAUUAGCGGAUGACCUGUGGCUGGGGGUGAAAGGCCAAUCAAACCGGGAGAUAGCUGGUUCUCCCCGAAAGCUAUUUAGGUAGCGCCUCGUGAAUUCAUCUCCGGGGGUAGAGCACUGUUUCGGCUAGGGGGCCAUCCCGGCUUACCAACCCGAUGCAAACUGCGAAUACCGGAGAAUGUUAUCACGGGAGACACACGGCGGGUGCUAACGUCCGUCGUGAAGAGGGAAACAACCCAGACCGCCAGCUAAGGUCCCAAAGUCAUGGUUAAGUGGGAAACGAUGUGGGAAGGCCCAGACAGCCAGGAUGUUGGCUUAGAAGCAGCCAUCAUUUAAAGAAAGCGUAAUAGCUCACUGGUCGAGUCGGCCUGCGCGGAAGAUGUAACGGGGCUAAACCAUGCACCGAAGCUGCGGCAGCGAACGUAUCACCCAAGACAACUUUACGGAGUUGACGAUUGACGGAGCGAAGCGACGUCAAAGCGUUCAUUAAAGUCGAGUUGGCUUAGGGAUACGUUCGUUGGGUAGGGGAGCGUUCUGUAAGCCUGUGAAGGUGUGUCGUGAGGCAUGCUGGAGGUAUCAGAAGUGCGAAUGCUGACAUAAGUAACGAUAAAGCGGGUGAAAAGCCCGCUCGCCGGAAGACCAAGGGUUCCUGUCCAACGUUAAUCGGGGCAGGGUGAGUCGACCCCUAAGGCGAGGCCGAAAGGCGUAGUCGAUGGGAAACGGGUUAAUAUUCCCGUACUUGGUGUUACUGCGAAGGGGGGACGGAGAAGGCUAUGUUGGCCGGGCGACGGUUGUCCCGGUUUAAGCGUGUAGGUGUGUGUUCCAGGUAAAUCCGGUUCACUUUAACACUGAGGCGUGACGACGAGGCACUACGGUGCUGAAGCAACAAAUGCCCUGCUUCCAGGAAAAGCCUCUAAGCAUCAGGUAACAUCAAAUCGUACCCCAAACCGACACAGGUGGUCAGGUAGAGAAUACCAAGGCGCUUGAGAGAACUCGGGUGAAGGAACUAGGCAAAAUGGUGCCGUAACUUCGGGAGAAGGCACGCUGACACGUAGGUGAAGUGAUUUACUCAUGGAGCUGAAGUCAGUCGAAGAUACCAGCUGGCUGCAACUGUUUAUUAAAAACACAGCACUGUGCAAACACGAAAGUGGACGUAUACGGUGUGACGCCUGCCCGGUGCCGGAAGGUUAAUUGAUGGGGUCAGCGCAAGCGAAGCUCCUGAUCGAAGCCCCGGUAAACGGCGGCCGUAACUAUAACGGUCCUAAGGUAGCGAAAUUCCUUGUCGGGUAAGUUCCGACCUGCACGAAUGGCGUAAUGAUGGCCAGGCUGUCUCCACCCGAGACUCAGUGAAAUUGAACUCGCUGUGAAGAUGCAGUGUACCCGCGGCAAGACGGAAAGACCCCGUGAACCUUUACUAUAGCUUGACACUGAACAUUGAGCCUUGAUGUGUAGGAUAGGUGGGAGGCUUUGAAGUGUGGACGCCAGUCUGCAUGGAGCCGACCUUGAAAUACCACCCUUUAAUGUUUGAUGUUCUAACGUGGACCCGUAAUCCGGGUUGCGGACAGUGUCUGGUGGGUAGUUUGACUGGGGCGGUCUCCUCCUAAAGAGUAACGGAGGAGCACGAAGGUUGGCUAAUCCUGGUCGGACAUCAGGAGGUUAGUGCAAUGGCAUAAGCCAGCUUGACUGCGAGCGUGACGGCGCGAGCAGGUGCGAAAGCAGGUCAUAGUGAUCCGGUGGUUCUGAAUGGAAGGGCCAUCGCUCAACGGAUAAAAGGUACUCCGGGGAUAACAGGCUGAUACCGCCCAAGAGUUCAUAUCGACGGCGGUGUUUGGCACCUCGAUGUCGGCUCAUCACAUCCUGGGGCUGAAGUAGGUCCCAAGGGUAUGGCUGUUCGCCAUUUAAAGUGGUACGCGAGCUGGGUUUAGAACGUCGUGAGACAGUUCGGUCCCUAUCUGCCGUGGGCGCUGGAGAACUGAGGGGGGCUGCUCCUAGUACGAGAGGACCGGAGUGGACGCAUCACUGGUGUUCGGGUUGUCAUGCCAAUGGCACUGCCCGGUAGCUAAAUGCGGAAGAGAUAAGUGCUGAAAGCAUCUAAGCACGAAACUUGCCCCGAGAUGAGUUCUCCCUGAGACUUAGAGUCUCCUGAAGGAACGUUGAAGACGACGACGUUGAUAGGCCGGGUGUGUAAGCGCAGCGAUGCGUUGAGCUAACCGGUACUAAUGAACCGUGAGGCUUAACCUUACA
rnacentral:rRNA from 1 species